rnacentral:lncRNA from 1 species
CACCAGAACCGGGUUGGAUAUCCACCUUGGAUAGAUGGCCUCUCUUAUGGAACCACUGCGACUGAGUUUGUUUACUUAGUCUUUCAGUGCCUCGUACCGUUCCGGAUUGAGGGCACGCCUCUUUUGUUUGUGGGGGGCAUAGGAGGGAUUGAUGUUAAGGUGAUGGAAACUGAUCCUAGGAUCUAUUCCCACCAUAUCUUCAUGUUUCCAUGCGAAGACAUCUAGGUUCCAUUUCAGGAAGCGUAUCAUCUCUGCUUUUGCUUCAGGUGAAAAUGACUUCCCUAUACGCAAGACCUGACUGGGGUCUUCUGGGUUGACGGGGAAAGUCUCCAAUUCUUCCAUUGGGGUCGCAUUUGGUUUAGAGUCAAUUAUUCGAGGGUCUAACUCAUCAAGAGGGUGUCCUUGUUCAGGGGCCUCUUCCAUGUCGACGUCUCCCUCUUGUUCAGAGGUAUGCCCUUGUUCAGGAGCGUCGAGCAUUUCCACGUCCGUACCGACUUCAGCAUGUACCUCAGUUAGGAUUACAUUAACAGUUCGGGACUCGGACUUUCGCAGCGAGUUUAAGUAGUAUGCCCUGGAGCCCAUUUGAUCGCCUCGGACCGUAGCAAUCCCAUGUUUGGUUCGAAAUUUCAUGCACAAAUAGUGAAUGGACAUGACAGCCCAAAGAUCUUUCAGAGCGGGUCUGCCCAAUACUCCAUGAUAAGCCGAUCUAUGAUCUACCACCAGAAAUUCCAUGAAGUGCUGGGCCACUAGGAGUGUCGAACCCAUUUUCAACAGGCAGGGUGAUCCGCCCUCGUGGGAUGAUGCUGUCCCCAGUGAAUCCGAAUAGUGGGUCGGUCAUGGGGAUCAACCCAUGUUCAAUUUGCAUUUUGUCAAAAGUGCCAUUGUCAUUGUCAAUGAGCAUGCGUUUUAAUCCGUUUCUAGCUACUACGGCUCUUACAACCAAUGCAUCACAAUGGGGGUGGUGAACUCCCUAUGAGUUUUCCUGGGAGAAGGUGAUUGGGGCCAUCCUGUUUGCUGAUUUCGAUUCGUUGACAAUGUAAGUGAUCAUUGGGGGAUCCUUUGCUUCUCUUGUGUAAUUUCUCUGGGCAUUCCUGGUGUUGCCACCGACGUGGGGUCCCCCAAUGAUAGUAUCGAUUUCCCUAAUGACCUGGCUUCCAGAAAAUUGAGCUUGGUUUCCGUGUCUGGAUUGACCUCGGUCCUUUAAUUCUCUUCUCCGAGGAGAUUGUUUCCUGUGACCUCUCCUUUCCCUCCUCGGGGAGGCGGAUCUGUGAGGGUGUUCGUUCCUGCUGGAAGUGUGCGGGUUGCUUCGAUCAGGGCAUCGAUUGGCGUCACGACACUCACUAGUGUCAUGUCCAUAGAGUUGAUGGAACGUACAAAACCUUGCUCCAUCCAAAGGUCUGUUUGCCUUCUUCUUCUUCUUCUUGUUCUCAGCUCUUCCAGAUGGUCCCGUUUCAGCAGGGGCAUUAUCAUAAGCCAACACCGGUACUGCAUUCAAUGUGGCGGAAGCUAGGGCCUGUCCGGAUGUGGGAGCUAUGGUAUGUCCUGCUUGGGUCCAUUGCUGAGUAACAAGGUGUGCUGCGGGUCCUCGACCUACCUACCUC